rnacentral:rRNA from 1 species
GAUGAACGCUGGCUACAGGCUUAACACAUGCAAGUCGAGCGACCGGCGCACGGGUGAGUUACACGUAUCCCACCUGCCCUUUACUCUGGGAUAUCCUUUCGAUAGAUAAAUUCAUACCCUAUAUAAAGGACGGGGAUGCGUUCCAUUAGGUUGUUGUUGAGGUAACGGCUCACCAAGACUUCCAUGGAUAGGGGUGCUGAGAGGAAGGUCCACCACAUUGGAACUGAGACACGGUCCAAACUCCUACGGGAGGCAGCAGUGAGGAACAUUGGUCAAGGGGCGGUAGUCGGAACCAGUCAAGUAGCGUGAAGGAGGAAGGCUUAGGGGUCGUAAACUUCUGUUAUAUAAGAAUAUGUAUUAUAUGAAUAAGGAUCGGCUAACUCCGUGCCAGCAGCCGCGGUAAUAC